GGCGGCGGCUUACCAUGCAAGUCGAGCGGGCGUAGCAAUACGUCAGCGGCAGACGGGUGAGUAACGCGUGGGAACGUACCUUUUGGUUCGGAACAACACAGGGAAACUUGUGCUAAUACCGGAUAAGCCCUUACGGGGAAAGAUUUAUCGCCGAAAGAUCGGCCCGCGUCUGAUUAGCUAGUUGGUAGGGUAAUGGCCUACCAAGGCGACGAUCAGUAGCUGGUCUGAGAGGAUGAUCAGCCACAUUGGGACUGAGACACGGCCCAAACUCCUACGGGAGGCAGCAGUGGGGAAUAUUGGACAAUGGGGGCAACCCUGAUCCAGCCAUGCCGCGUGAGUGAUGAAGGCCCUAGGGUUGUAAAGCUCUUUUGUGCGGGAAGAUAAUGACGGUACCGCAAGAAUAAGCCCCGGCUAACUUCGUGCCACG
rnacentral:rRNA from 1 species